GUCUUCUGAGCUUUGCGGAGGAGUUACACAGUGAUGGAGUUACACAAUGAUGGACUUUCCACCAGCAUCACUCACUGACAAGUGUAAGACAGACGGAGACAGAGAGCGUUGAAGAAAUAGAGAGACGCACGCAGGAGAGAAAUAUAAGGGUCAGAAAAGAUGGAGAGUGCUGUUUAGAGAUGUACAUCCACCCACACUCAAAACUCUACGUCCGCCGCAGAAACCCGUCGUCAGGGGUACGAUAUUCAGAACCGCUGUAAAUGAAAAGAAGAGGGAGGGAGAUAUUAGAGGAGGACAGAGGGAGAAAUUACUGGAGGAUAGAAGGAGAAAUUAGAAGGAGGAUAGGGGGAGAAAUUAGAAGAGGAUAGAAGGAGAAAUUAGAGAAGGAUAGAAGGAGAAAUUAGAGAAGGAUUGGGGGAGAGGGGUAGAGAGAUGAGAGACCGUCAAACAAAUUAAGAUUUCAAUGGAAGGAACCCUUUUUCAACCCUUCUUGUGCCGGCACAGAGUGCUCCAGUCACGGGGACAAUGGUGAGAGGAGGGACCUCCAGACCUCCAGACAGACCCUCAGAAAGCACCACAUCCAGACCCGGCCGCCGCUCUCGCCCCCUGGUCCGGAGCAGACCCCUGGCCCGCUCCUCCCUCCACUCCCUCUCUCACCUCCACUACCGACAGAGCCGGGGUGGAAUAAGGAUGACCAGCACAUCAGCAGGUAACAUGACCUCUUUAUCUGGUGUGUGAGUGUGUGUGUGUGGUAAUCCUGGACUUCUGGGAAUGACCUCCAGCAGUUCCAGUAUGUCAAACUCUUAACCGCUCAAAAGCAAUCAUAAUGUGUCAACACUCUCACACACGCACACACUGACAGACACACACACACACACACACACACACAGACAGACCGACAUACCACACUUUUCUAUUUUUUGUGAUUGAUUAAACAUAAGAGUGUGUCUGUAAAUGGCUCAGAUGUUUUGUCCAUAUCUAAUGGUGGUGCAUUCAGAUGAAAAGACACCCAGCUCAUCCCGUUAGUACCUUACAAGCUAACUCAGAAAUAGUUCAGCUACAGCCCCACA
rnacentral:lncRNA from 1 species